AAGAAAGCUGUGCAAGAGAGGGAUGAGGCACUGACAAUGAGAAGUGAGACCAACCAAUCCAUUAAAGAGGACAACCUGAAGUUGAUCGCUGAGCUGCAUAGAGUGAGGAAGAAGUACCAGCUGCUGAAAAGGAAGAUGGGGAUUGUCAGGGUGAGUCCGGCAAAGGCCCUCAACUUUCAGGCAGAGGCAGACAGACACAAAGCGACAGGUUCAGGGGACCAGAGAGAGGAGCCUACAGUGUCCGGAUCUAGCUGCAAACUCAUCUUUCCGGGAUCUGCUAUGAGUGUGUUUAUCGGGGGAUUCAGGAAGAUAUGUGAGGGCCCCAAUCCAAAUUAUAAGCUUAGGGAAAAUUGUGCCUCAAAGGUCAAGAGGGGGAUGCAAUUUUUGAACUACAUGGCCAAGAAUGAGACCUACCAGUCCUCUCUCAUUUUCCUGACAGACCAUGACAAAAUAAGGCAGUGACCCCUCCACCUGGCUGCCGGAUGACCGUAAACCAAUGGAAGGGGAUCAACUGGUUGAUGAAGGGCAUUAACAAGUCCAUGAGACGACCAGUUUCCCUUCACCAGGUAAAGGUGAAAGACAACAAGGAAGGCAAGGUGGUGUCCAAAAAGAGCCUGCUGGAGUGCCAGUCUCUUACCAAGGCAAAAAUCCCUCAAGUGCUGAGUAAAUUCUUCUCAAUCUGUGAUGUC
ensembl:lncRNA